rnacentral:tRNA from 1 species
GCAUCAAUGGGGUAGUGGUAACCUGGGUCGUUGCCAUAGGUUGUGCGGUACAGUUACGAUUUCGACCCGCCGGGGGUUCGAUUCCCUCUUGAUGCA